rnacentral:tRNA from 1 species
UCCUUGGUGGCUCAGAGGGUAAAGAAUCUGCCUGCAAUGCAGGAGACCCAGGUUCGAUCCCUGGGUCGGGAA